ACCAACUGCCAAAACUGCCAGAAUCUCUCAAGUCAAAGCCUCAAAGCUGUACGCCUUCACUGGCCACUUUCCACAGGCCUCUAUGGGUUUUCUCUGCGUGCUCCAAUUUCCUUCCAUGUCCCAGAGAUGUAUUAAUUGUCCUUAUAAAGUGUCGUGUCCUCUAUGGUGCAGAGGCUAGUGCCAAUGGAGCUGGCUGAGUCUACUAACCUCUGCAGCUUUUUAUGAUCCUGUGCAUUGGUGCCUCCAUACCAGAUGGCAAUGUAACAAGUCAUAAUGCUCUCCAAGAUGGAUAUAAAAAAGAUGAAGAUGCUUCCAGGCAGCAUGGUCACCAGCCUAAUCGCUGAAGAUUUUCAGCAUCUGCAGUAUUCGUGGAUUCAAGGCACAUGAUGGGUUUAAAAGGAGAGUGUUAAAAGAAGUUGAAUGUAUUCCUAGGAUUGGCAGCACACAUCAAUUUCACGCCAUCUAAUCUGGCUUCCGAUAACAGAUGGGUAGAACAACUGAUGCCUGUCUAAAACUGCUGGAGAACUAUAAAGAUUAAGACAAGCUUUAUUUCUCACAUGUACAUCUAAACAUUGAAACACACAGUGAAAUGCAAUGUUUAUGUCAACAAUCAACAGUCCAGGAAUGUGCUGGGGACAGACCACAAGUGCUGCCAUGCUUCUUGCACCAAGAUAUCAUGGCCACUGUUUACCUGUACAUCUUUGGAAUGUGGCAGAAUCAGGCACACCCGGAGGAAAUCUGUCGGGUCAUGGGGAGAAUGUGCAAGAUUCUUAUAGGCAAAGGCGGGAAUUUAACCCUGGUCAUCACUGAGGCUGUAAAGCAUUGUGCUAGCUACUACACUACUGUGCCACAGAUUCUUGAAAAGAAAAUUCAAAGUAAAUUAUCAAAAUACAGUAUGUAUGGCAUAUACAAUCAUGAGAUUCGUUUUCUUGCUGGCACCCACAGGAAAACAGAAAUACAAUGGAAUCCAAAAAAACUACACAUAGCAAAGACCAACAAACAUCUAAUGUGCAAAAGAGAUAUAUUGUUCAAAUAAAAGAUAGUAAACAAAUAAUACUGAGAACAUGAGCUGCAGAGUCCCCGAAAGUGAGUCCACAGGCUGUGGAGUUAGUUCAGCAUUGAGGCAAGUGAAGCCAGUCCAAGAACCAUCCUGAGGAGAUGUCUCUGUCCCAUUAACUAUAUUCCCCCUUCAUCUAUUUUAUCACUGCUGCAGCAACUAUGUGCUGCCAGUACUGCCAGUAUUCUAUCCCUUAGUGCAGGGGUCCCCAACCGUUUUUGCACUGUGGACCGCUUUAAUAUUGACAAUAUUCUUGUGGACCAGCCGACUGGGGGUGGGGGUGGUACGGUUGCCAACGGACAAGAGUAGCAGUCAAAUAAGUUGUGUUUAACCAGAAAAGACUACAAUGACCAUGAAGCCUUGCGUGGGCACCAGUGCGCAUGCACGGCAUGUGCAUGCGUGUACGUGCCCAUUUUUUUUCACUGCUUAUCGUUUUUGGCGAUUCUGUUCAGGGGUGGUGGGUGGUGAUGUUAAUCACGACCAGAUUAUAGGUGAUAAGUGGCUAAUCCACUCAAUUUCGUUUCUAAAAGGCUUUAUCUAAUGAAUUUAAUAUUAAACACACAGCCCAUAUUUUCCUCGCAUGAAUAUAGUGAUAAGUCAAUUAUCAGGGGAGGACAGGGGAGCUUGAAGUAAGUGUUGAACGAACUUCCAGUAGAAGUGGUUGAGGCAGGUUCGAUAUUAUCAUUUAAAGAAAAAUUGGAUAGGUAUAUGGACAGGAAAGGAAUGGAGGGUUAUGGGCUGUGUGCAGGUCGGUGGGACUAGGUGAGAGUAGCGUUCGGCACGGACUAGAAGGGCAGAGAUGGCCUGUUUCCGUGCUGUAAUUGUUAUAUGGUUAUAUAAGUCAAUAGCAUCAUAACAUUUUAAGUAACGUUUGGAUAUUAAACACACAGCACAUAUUUUCCCCCAUAUGAACACACAAAAUCAUUGCAACACACCAGUAUCGCUGAAUCAGUGGGAGCCCUGGACUUGUUUCCCUGCAACAAGACUGUCCUAUCGAGGGGUGAUGGGAGACAGUGAUACUCGAAGGGGGUUCCUUAUGUCCAGUCUAUUCUGCAAUUUAGUUUUCGUUGCAUUCUUUGCAGAAAACUCCGCUUCGCAGAAAAAUGUUGGAAAUGGAAGCAACGUUUUCAGUGCUUUCGUGGCUAUCUCAGGACACUUAGCCUUGACUUUGAUCCAGAAUACCGGCAGAGAUGUUAUGCCAAACAUACUUUUCAGCCCGCCGCCAUUUGCAAGCUGGAGGAGUUGAUCUCCUUCCCGCACCGACAUGAAUGACGCGCGGGUAAUGACCUCGCAUGCGUAAUGGCUCAACAGUGGGCAUGACAGGGAAUGAGGAGAGGUGCAGCUGACUCAUAUUGCCAAAUCAUUUCGUUUCCUCGCGGCCUGGUAGCACAUGCUUUGCGGCCCGGUACCGGUCCACAGCCCAGUGGUUGGGGAUCGCUGCCUUAGUGGAAGUUGUUGAUUGCCAAGCUUGGCAAAAUGUUUGCAGAUGUUUCAGCUCCAAUGGAAAAGCCAUCAUCAGUGCACAGUUUAAGGGUGUUACCUCCUCAAAAUGCGAGCUUAUUCCACAAUAUUUCAACACUAUCCCUUAGAAAUUUGCAAAGCUUUGUGAGAAAAAAAUGUUUGCCUCAGGAAACCUAAUUUGGCAACUACAGUACAACCUAUUCUUUUCACAUUUAUAAUGCUCCCACCUUCAUUGCAAAUUAAUAAAGACACAGCCUUAAAUACUGACAAAUACUCCAACUGAGCGGCACUGUAGCAUAGCAUUGAAUGCAUUGUAUUACAGUGCAAGCAAUCAUCGAUCAGGGUUCAAUUCCCACUGCUGCCUAUAAGGAGUUUCUUUUUGUGACUGCAUGGAUUUCCUUUGAGUUCUCUAGUUUCCUCCCACAUACCAAAGAUGUAGAGGUUAUGAUUAGUAAGUUGUGGACAUGCUACAUCACCAAUCAGGGUUCAAUUCCCACUGGUGCCUAUAAGGAGUUUCUCCCUGUCACUGCAUUGGUUUCCUCCCACAUUUCAAAGAUGCAAAGGUUAAUCGGUCACAUGGGUGUAAUUAGGCAGCAUGAGCUCAUUGGGCCGGAAGGGACCGU